CGCGUCGCGACGCGCUUGCGGUUGAAACGUUCUACAUAUAUUCCAUUGGAAUUGUUGAAUGGACGCGUCACAUGUCUACUAGCUAGGGGGAGGAAUCCAAAAGGCUACAAUCUUCGCUGGACACGAAAUCGAUAAGUUCACCAAGACGUCAUAACAUUUACGAUUAUUGUAUACGUGUGCGGUGAACCGGAAGCAUAGGUAAGAUUAGAUAAGUACCUCUAUCGAUUUUCGCAAUAAUACGUUUAGCACU